rnacentral:lncRNA from 1 species
UGCAGGACUCUGUGGAGGAUCUCAUCCUGGCAGCCCAGCAACUCCUGGGCCAGCAUGCCAAUGUCAGCCACUGAGAACAUCUUCUUCUGGGUGGUAUAGCCCCUUUCCAUGGCCACCUGAAUGAGUCUAUUCAGGGAGAUUCCACUGGCAGGGGGAGGGCUGGAAAGUACUUGCUUUCCACAAAGCCACCAGCCUACACUGGCAAUCUUCUUAGAUGAGGAGGGGCAGGUUGAAGAUUCUAAUGCCUUAUUCAUUGAUCCAGCCAACACUCGGGUACUGGCACAAGGUGAAGCAUCAGGGAAGAGCCAGGAACCUUUCUGAAGCUGUGCACAGCUCUCCUUGGUAGAUUUGGGGGAGGGGUACUCCAUGCCUGCCUCUGCCACCUGCUAGAGCAUUUAGUAAGGAAAACCUCCUAACUAGUACAUCUACUUUAUUAACAUAUGGAAGAGGCUGGUGCAACAUAGUAUUGACAGCAGUGCUAGAUCUCGUGGCUCUAAGUGAACCUUGCUUGAGGUGCGAAUAUCUGAACUUCGUUCUUUAUUUUAUCCCUCUAGACAAGAAGUAGUGGGGUAUCUGUACAAAUAGCUAUUGAUGACCACAUUUUAUCAUACCAAUGAGGAAAUGAUGGGAGUUUGUAGAAUUAUUAAACUAUUUGGAGUUGUGUAAGACUUGGUAUAUCAGAUUUUUUAAGAUUUAUAUCUUUUAGACACUUAACCCUGAAUGUGUCCCUGCUAGUAUGUCUGAAUUCUGCAGCCUCACAUAUUACAUCGUGGUUCCUGCCUAUCCUGUACCCUUAGAGGGGAUGGGCCAUAAAGCAAAUGUUUCAUAGUGUCCAGGAUGGUGCUAGGCAUCAUGAGGUGCUCAGUAAAUCCUGGUGGAAUUGGAGGGAGUUCUUGAGACUCAUUGACUAACAUUGACUAGCAACAGUGUGGACAGACACAUUGGUUCAUGGACCACUGUUGCAUACAUGUCUUGUUCAUUUCUUACAAUGGUACUGUGUGCUCAGUGAUGUCUUAUUCUCAUUUCCCACAUGAGGAAGCAACUUACAAAAACUAAUGUAAUUGCUUAAAUUCCCGCAGCCUCUAAGUGGCACACCCAGGAUUCAGACUCAGUUCUUUUGAUUCUAAAUCUUACAUUUUUUCCAAGCACUACAUACCUCUUCUUUUUGGAUCAAUAUAGGCAGGAUGAAGGGCGGCCCCUAGUCAGGCUCUGGUCCUAGCCUGUGGAUGUUCCCAAUUCCUCAGGGACAAUUCUAUGCACUGAUAGAGGUAAAUGAAGAACCCAAGGCCCAGAGGGGCUAAACCACUUCCCUAGGCCACAC